CGGAGGAUCCGAGCGUUAUCCGGAUUUAUUGGGUUUAAAGGGUGCGUAGGCGGGAUAGUAAGUCAGUGGUGAAAGCCUGCAGCUCAACUGCAGAACUGCCAUUGAUACUGCUAACCUUGAGUGUGUUUGAUGUGGGCGGAAUGUGCAGUGUAGCGGUGAAGUGCUUAGAUAUUGCACAGAACACCAAUUGCGAAGGCAGCUCACAAAACCACAACUGACGCUGAGGCACGAAAGCGUGGGGAUCAAACAGGAUUAGAUACCCUGGUAGUCCACGCCUUAAACGUUGAAUACUCGAUGUGUGCGAUAUACUGUACGCGUCUAAGCGAAAGUGAUAAGUAUUCCACCUGGGGAGUACGCUCGCAAGAGUG
rnacentral:rRNA from 1 species